rnacentral:rRNA from 1 species
AUUGAACGCUGGCGGCAGGCCUAACACAUGCAAGUCGAGCGGAGCGGCGGACGGGUGAGUAAUGCCUAGGAAUCUGCCUGGUAGUGGGGGAUAAAGUCCGGAACCGGGCGCUAAUACCGCAUAAUAUCAGAUGAGCCUAGGGCGGAUUAGCUAGUUGGCGGGGUAAAGGCCUACCAAGGCGACGAUCCGUAACUGGUCUGAGAGGAUGAUCAGUCACACUGGAACUGAGACACGGCCCAGACUCCUACGGGAGGCAGCAGUAGGGAAUAUUGGGCAAUGGGCGAAAGCCUGAUCGAGCCAUGCCGCGUGUGUGAAGAAGGUCUUCGGAUUGUAAAGCACUGUAAGUUGGGAGGCGUUACCAACACAGAAAGCACCGGCUAACUUCGUGCCAGCAGCCGCGGUAAUAC